rnacentral:rRNA from 1 species
CAGUCGCCGCGGGAAUACGGAGGGUGCAAGCGUUAAUCGGAAUUACUGGGCGUAAAGCGUGCGCAGGCGGUCUGUUAAGACAGAUGUGAAAUCCCCGGGCUCAACCUGGGAACUGCAUUUGUGACUGGCAAGCUAGAGUGUGGCAGAGGGUGGUGGAAUUCCGCGUGUAGCAGCGAAAUGCGUAGAUAUGCGGAGGAAUACCGAUGGCGAAGGCAGCCACCUGGGCCAACACUGACGCUCAUGCGCGAAAGCGUGGGGAGCAAGCAGGAUUAGAUACCCCAGUAGUCCCUGUCUCUUAUAC